ACUAAGAAGAUGACCACAAAAAUCCAGAAAUACCAUCUGUAAUGAAAGACAGAAAAGUUCAAGAUCAGAUUAAUUAUCAUAAUCAAUUACAGCUACAGGUGACAAUUUCUACUGUGACAUCAACAUCCUACAAUCUCUUUUCGUCUUUGUCUUCCUCUUUUUCUUAUGUGUGAGGGAGUAGUGCAAAAGAAAGGAAUAAGGAUUUAAAGCAGAUAAAAGCUAUGACCAGAGGCGAUUUUAAUAGAAAGGUUUACCUGAUACCAACAACCUUUUUAAAAUCAGCUUCCAGAACCCUUACCAUGUACCUGUAAAAAUUGAAUUUUGGGUUCCCCCUGCAAUAUGUCUGUAACUGAAAGGUUUAGUAGGUGAAAAAAAAUAAAAGUAAUUAUAUAGGAUGUAAAAGAAACAACAUCAUAAGAAAUGGUGGACCAUGCUUCAACCAGUAUUCCUUACCAUGAUGAAACCCUGUCUCAUUGUUGUGUAAUCUGAUCUGGUCACAGAUCCAUAAAAUUGUUUUACAAAAGAAUGCUGAGAAAGCAAAAUAGACACCAUUUAAGAGAGAAAAAAGUGCCUUUUGUGAGGUGGAAAGGGAUGACAGCUCUGACUUGGGAGCAAUUAACAAUAUCUGAAAAAUGAUAAUAUCAUAGAAUUUAAUGAAAGAAGCAUAGAGUGCUGCCUCUUCAUGUAGGUGAGUAUAAUACCUCUGAACAUUUUAAACACAUACAAGAUUCUGUUUCUACAGUGUCGUUUAUCAUGUGAUUAUUCGAAGUCAAUGGCAUAGGCAAAGUUCAUAGCCCCUCAUCAUCAUCAAAGCUUCUUCUCAUCGAAAUGUGUUAACUAUAGAACACAAAAUACAGCUCUAAGACAAGAAGGCACUAUGAAAGGACUGAGUAGGUUUUCACAACUGACUGUAGAAGUGGCAUGGACCUUUCCAGACUCGGAGCCAUAUUCCUGGUCAAAGCAACAUUACAGAAGAGAGGGGAUCUGCCUUCACAACCAAAACUGAGCAGAUCAAUUGGUGGGUAUUUUUUGGUGCACUCUAAGCUCAUGAGGUGAGAACAAUUCCCAAAAUUCCUUUCAAGACUUUUAAACAGUGCAAACAAUGAGCACUGAUGAUUACUUUAUCCAAAGAACAAUGCGUAUUUUUGAGGCACAAGUUAUAAGUCAAAAAGUCAAAUAGAAACAUUGACCCAGGAAGCGCCCUCCAUCCCCCCUCCCCCCACCCAAAAAAAAACUAAAAAAGGAGAAAGAGGUAAACCAAAGGGUUAAAAAUAAGCACAUAACAGUGCAAGAUGUUGUAUCCAAUAGAAAUAAUAAUGUUGUAGCUUCAACCCCUUAGUAAAUACACAUACUCCCAGAACUACAGACCAUUACAGAGGGGAUAAUCCUUGAUGCUUCUUAUAUAUUUGAAUACUUGGAGCCUAUCUUGGAGUGUCUUCAUGAAAUUCUUUUAUAUUUUUUACUCCAGAUGUUCCAUCAAACAACAUGCUGCAACUGAUAUUUCAUGUUCUAGAGCCUGAGUUAGUGACAUCAAAUGACAUGCUAAUCAAUAAAAUAACAGAUCACUAGACAAAGGCAAAAAUGGAUAAACCAACUGCAAAGUUUCCACCACAUCUUGCUUCCAAAAAUGCACGAAGGUCUAUAUGAUCCAUGGAUUCAUGUUCCACCCAACAAAGGUUGCACAUCUUUUUAUAUUGAUCCCUGCCUUGGAAAGGAUAUUAUUCAGUAGUCACAACUCAUAAAGAUCUUAAAAGAAUGUAUAACACAAAGGCUGGAAUUGAUUGUAAAGGACCUUUUUUUUGUGCAGAAGAAUGUCUAGCUAUGGACAGUUCUCAAAAUGACAGCAUUUAGCCUCCAGCCCAAAAACUAUAAUCUUUUCUAUGCAUCUACACAGAACUAAACACUGCCCAAAGAAUUUCUCACUUUUUAAAUUAACAACUUAAAGCAACCCAUUUAUCCAUCACUUAUAAUCGCCCCGCAGAAAGAACACUUUUGCACACCCACCUUGACCACUUUCACACCCGGCUCCACCCCCCACCGCACUGCGGGGGCACCCCCUCCUUGACCACUUUUGCAAGGCAAGAUUUAGAUAAGGAAGGAUAUUAAUGAGCGCACAAAACCUAAUUUUAAAAGAAGGGAAAAUAAUCAAGGAAAUGAGGUUCCCAUUCACAAUGUAAUCUCUCUGUACACAACAUGCCUCGGCAAGAAAUCAAAUUUUGAAAAUCACAGUCCGUAAAAGGAAGUAAUUCUCUCAACUAGCUAAAUAUAUAAGUGAGUUACCAUAGUUCUUUGCCUCUUUUAAUUCAUUAAAUUAUAUCCAUUGAGCAAAUUAACUUUAUCAUUUUUUCUAGAAAGAAUUCACUAAAAUAGGGAGCUUAUCUUUUCAGCCAAAGUCUGCACUCAGCUCUUUCUUUAUCUCCAAUAUAUGUGGGAGGAUCCAUGCGAACGUGUAUUUAGUCCCACAUCAAUUAUUCGUUGGGAAGACUUAGGUACUUAUACAGGGCUAAGAAAUCCAAAUAACACUUUAUAGCUAGUUUUUUUGGGGUGAGAUCUUAAGUCAUUACAAAAGGUAUCAAAAUUGACCUAGCUUAUAGCCUAUACGGACUAGGGGAUACUGCAGCACAGGUUGAUUGGUACUGACUAUGAACUGAUCAUGGUGUUUAUGAAUGGAUGCAUGGAUUUAAAUCCUUAACCUGGUGAGGAUGCCAGGGCUUAAAUGGGGGGACUAUGUGAGAACCUGUGUGGGUGUUUAUUUAAUCUCAUAUUAGUUAUUUAUUGGAAAGAUCUUGGAUACUUAUACUGGGCUAAAGAACCUAAAUGACACUUUCUGGCUAAUCUUUCUGGAUGAGGUCCUGAGUCGUUAUAACACGUUACCCCAUUAGCAGCCCUAAGGACUUCUCUAAUUAGGUUUAAGCCAGCAAAAGUAGAGUCAGUGCAAUUUUAGCUAAGUGUGAAGGACUAUUUCUUUUUGGUCAAUUUUCGGUAAUUGUGGCUACAAAAAUUGUGGGACAUUUAAUAGAAGAACAAAUAUUCCGAAAUCUCCAAGUUAGUUUUUAGUUCAAGUCACCUUUGUUUCCUUUUGGUUUCUAAUAAGUAUGCAGAGUUCCACACCAAGGCCUCACAAAGUUUGCUUCUGUCCUUGUUAGCAUGUUGCAAAAUGUAAUCCAUUGUUUGACGGGUUCACAAUUUUUAAUCUCCACAAAAUUCUGAACUUUUGGAAACCUGUAGUGCUUUUCUCCACAUUAUGUUGAUGACGCAUGAUAGUUCUUUAAAUAUAUGCACUUUAGACUGGAAAGAAAAGAAUCAAAUAGUUCCUUCAUCCUCUUCAUCUAUUAAAUUCAAACACCAUUAACAAUAGUUUGAAACUUCAUAAAAAUUACUAAGGCAAAAAUCUGAAAAGAAAACUUUGAAAGAUUCGAUAACCUCAUAGUCAAAGCAUAAAUUGAUCAAUAAUCAGUUGUCAUGCAUACCAUGCUGGAAGUCAACUUGCACAUCAAAUUGUGUUCAAAUGGAUAUUUAAUACCAGUACUAAAAUUAUAUUCUAUCUUCUUUUCAUAUGGCACUGCUUCAAUCCUGAAGGUGAUUCAUAGAACUUCUUGUAAGAGGACUAUUUUCCAAGGAUUCAUCAUUUCCAUUAGGACAAAAUAUGAAUCUCAUACUUACAGAAAAUAUUUACCUACCAACCAAUGUAGCAAUCUGGAUAGUUUCCCAAUUCCAUGAAAGUGGUCCGUGAUGAAUUUAAAUUGAUUUAUGAGAGUGACCUUCUCUGAGAUCGAACAAAUCAUAUUGCACAGAUCAGAAAAUCACAAAUAAAAAAAUUGACACUUCCCAAAAAGAGAAAGAAGUUCAGCAUCACUUAAUUUUUCCCUUGGACACUGACUCCAUCCAAUGUUUCAGUAUGACAAUAGACAUGCAAAAACUAUGCUAGUGAUCUGAGCAAUACCAUUUCUUGCUUCAUCCUGGUGAAUUGAAUUCUCCCAGCUUUUCCACUGAUGUAUCUAAGCCAUGUAAGAAAAUCCUCAAUAAAAGAAAUGCUUCGGAGAGCAAUGACCAUUUAGCAUAUGACAAACUAAGAGCACCAAAUGAAUUAAUGGUAAGAAGAAGCACAUCUGCUUACCUUCAAUCCUCCUAAAACCACAGUGGAAGCACUCAAAAUUACAUGAGUGACCGCCAAAACAAAGAUGAAGAUGUGCAGCUCAUGCAAUGCCGUAAUGGACAAUAAUGGGACCUUAUCCUUUAAAAAAAGAAAAAGGAAAAAAAGUAACUCACUGACCUCGAAAUUUCAGAAAUGCAAUGCCCAAAAACGUGAUGUGUUUUCAUAAAUUUUUAAAAGAAUUUUUUUUUUUGAAUUUUACUCAUUUGAACCAAUAAACAAUGAUGUGGCAGGUUCCAAGCCUGGAUAAGAAAUGUGGAGCAUUGAUGUUAGCAAGGUCCGCUGUAUGCAACCGGUGCAUACAAUCUCAUAUCAGGCAUACCAUACCAUACUGAUACCGACC
rnacentral:lncRNA from 1 species